rnacentral:rRNA from 1 species
ACGUAGGGUGCGAGCGUUAAUCGGAAUUACUGGGCGUAAAGCGUGCGCAGGCGGUUUGAUGAGCCAGAUGUGAAAUCCCCGGGCUUAACCUGGGAACUGCAUUUGGAACUGUCAGACUAGAGUAUAGCAGAGGGGGGUAGAAUUCCACGUGUAGCAGUGAAAUGCGUAGAGAUGUGGAGGAAUACCAAUGGCGAAGGCAGCCCCCUGGGUUAAUACUGACGCUCAUGCACGAAAGCGUGGGGAGCAAACAGGAUUAGAUACCCUGGUAGUCCACGCCCUAAACGAUGUCGACUGGUUGUUGGGGGUUUGACACUCUCAGUAACGAAGCUAACGCGUGAAGUCGACCGCCUGGGGAGUACGGCCGCAAGGUUA